rnacentral:rRNA from 1 species
UACGUAGGUGGCACUCGUUGUCCGGAAUUAUUGGGCGUAAAGCGCGCGCCGGCGGUCUUUUAAGUCUGAUGUGAAAGCCCACGGCUCAACCGUGGAGGGUCAUUGGAAACUGGGAGACUUGAGUGCAGAAGAGAAGAGUGGAAUUCCACGUGUAGCGGUGAAAUGCGUAGAGAUGUGGAGGAACACCAGUGGCGAAGGCGACUCUGUGGUCUGUAACUGACGCUGAGGCGCGAAAGCGUGGGGAGCAAACAGG